UCUCCAGCUGUUUUUGGACUACAACUCCCAUCAUCCCAAGCUAGCAAGACCAGUGGUCAGGGAUGAUGGGAAUUGCACUCCAAAAACAGCUGGAGA
rnacentral:miRNA from 1 species